AUUGAACGCUGGCGGCAGGCCUAACACAUGCAAGUCGAGCGGAUGAAGGGAGCUUGCUCCUGGAUUCAGCGGCGGACGGGUGAGUAAUGCCUAGGAAUCUGCCUGGUAGUGGGGGAUAACGUCCGGAAACGGGCGCUAAUACCGCAUACGUCCUGAGGGAGAAAGUGGGGGAUCUUCGGACCUCACGCUAUCAGAUGAGCCUAGGUCGGAUUAGCUAGUUGGUGGGGUAAAGGCCUACCAAGGCGACGAUCCGUAACUGGUCUGAGAGGAUGAUCAGUCACACUAGAACUGAGACACGGUCCAGGCUCCUACGGGAGGCAGCAGUGGGGAAUAUUGGACAAUGGGCGAAAGCCUGAUCCAGCCAUGCCGCGUGUGUGAAGAAGGUCUUCGGAUUGUGAAGCACUUUAAGUUGGGAGGAAGGGCAGUAAGUUAAUACCUUGCUGUUUUGACGUUACCAACAGAAUAAGCACCGGCUAACUUCGUG
rnacentral:rRNA from 1 species